rnacentral:rRNA from 1 species
GGUUGUGGCCGUAUGUGCUUGUCAAUGCCUGAUCUCGUCUGAUCUUGGAAACAAGGCCGGGCCUGGUUAAGACUUGAAUGGGAGACCACUGUGAAUACCAUGUGCUGUAGUGG